ensembl:lncRNA
CUGCGAGUCACACUUUGUCGAAAUCUGGCACGUUAUAUUUAUAUACAUUAUACGACUCUCCUGAUGAGUUUUAUCCUCCUGGUUCUCUGUUCAGCCAAGGAGAGGGAGACUUGCUGCUUGUGUGACUGACAAACUUCUGCACGAUACACACACAUAGGCGUAGAUUACGGGGGACAUGUCCGAAAAAAUUGCGACCGAAGAAAUCGCCACAUUCUCAAGCGAAAUCGUCGAGACUAAAUCAUGCGAUAGGCGCGCACGAAUCCUCACAGCAUGCACACCUGCCACCUAGUGGUGAUUGCAAACAUGUGAAAAACGCAAUUUGGUAUUGUAGCGUCGGCCAAGAAGAACACAGUCAGGUUUUGUGGAAAGCUUCACAGCAGCGCUACAGCUGGAUCUCCCGCUGUAUUUUAAGACUGAAGAGCGCCACAACGAUGACCACUUCCUGCUAGGCCUGGGGAGUGAUUAGAGAACCGAGAGUGGGAAGAGGAAGUGGUGUUGUUAAUGGGUGUCACGAUGCCUCGUCUCUCACAAGGGCUGAGCUUGUCAGCCGGGUUCUAGUGCUCUGCGUGAUCGUCCCGUCGCCGAGUCGGCACCAUGAAGAGCUCCUCGACCCUCCUCCUCCUCACCCUGCUCUCUCUGUUGGCGGGCGUCCCCGCCGCUGACCCAUCCAGUGAGAGCCCGGACCCCUCCCCCUCGAACUCCUCCACCCUUGGCGGCUCCGUCCUGAACACCUCCGCCCCGGACCCCUCCCCCUCAGACCUGACGACCCAGGGAGACCCUUCCGCCUCGAACCAAACCUCAGACGGCCCCGGCUCCUCCCCGACACCGGAGUACAACGCCACCGACGGCCCGACCCGGCCCCCCAGCUCGGUGCUCCCCGCUCAUACCUCCACCACCGCCAAGCCCACCACCGCCACCACGGAGCGCUGCAUGUUCCCCCGGACGCAGGGGCGCGUGGUGCUGAUGGUGGCGGGCGCGCUGACGGUGGCGUGCGUGGGCCUGCUGGUCACCACCGCCCUGCUGACCUGGAAGCUCUGCCAGCGGCGGCGGGAGGCGGAGCCAGACAGCGACCUCAUCAGCAACUCUGAGUUCUGGAUGGGCAGCGCGCGGCGCAACAAGGCCAAGCCACCCCCCGCCA